CAUAUUGACCAAGCGCCUGAACUGGACGCACGGACGGAAACAGCGAGCCAGUUGACGAGGUGGAGGAGUAUCGAACAUCGGCGGAUGCCUCCCGGUGUAUAGCCGCACCGAAAGAGCGUUUUCGAAAUCCGACAGGUGACUGACGGGACAAGGAACGUUUUGGCUACUA
rnacentral:ncRNA from 1 species